GAGGCCUAAAUUAAAAAUAGCUUUGUUUGCUGUCUCCCGACCGACCCUAAAAAAUCGCUGCGCUCCAAAAAAUUUUAUUUGCUCUUGCCGACCAUUUUUUUUAUAUUUUUUUUGGUGCCGCAUAUUUUUACCGAUAUCCGUUAAAUAACCGCGUAUAGUAUUCUGGUUCCCGCAUAUAAUGCGUCACGUGUAUCGACAAUCAAGUACCGCCAGGUAAAAUGUCGAUUGUGUACACUUCUGUUACAAUUUUGCGAUAGCAAAACGAAAGUUAGAAGAAGACGAGUAUUUUAUCAUCUCGUCAACAGUUAUUAUUACGAAUAAUAUUGGCUGCGGUUCACAUUGUUGAAAAAUAACCUCCACGAGUAUGGAUUGGCCUGGACAAGGGCCGAUCUGUUGAAUGACGCCAAGGAUUUUUACCCGAAAAAAUCAGACGUUCCUACGGGCUUUAAGAAUAGUCUUCUAGUGGCUCAAAAUGCAAGGCUAUUUGUUCCAUGCACUGAAUGCUAUACACAAAGGUGUAUUUACUCCAAGAAUAAAUUGACAGUCAGGGAAACAUGAUCUCUUGAACACAACCUUGAGAAUUUGAUUACAGCUGUGUUUCAGUCAGUACUGUUGAUGGAGAUGCGCUGCAUUAAGGGAGAGUGUUUGUACGAGUGUAGAUGUCAUGCCAAUCUCACAUGGAGUUCCCUUACUGUGCCUCCAACAUUGGAUGACCAGAUAUUUGUGCCCAUUGUGCUAAGCUAGAAGCACAGAGGAUUCCUGAACU